AAUUUCCUCCUGAUUCUCGUUUUGUCUGAUUUUGUUUGCUUCCUUUUCUGUUUGUGAGUUCUUGAGGAAAUCCUAAGUAUUAGUGAGUUUGAAUUUUGUUUGCUUCCUUUUCUAUAUACCUCGCUAGGGUUUUGCUUAUGACUGUUUGUUUGGUUCCUGAGAAUCUCAUAUCCAUUCCUCGUCUUUUUAUGAUGUUUUCAGGCUUUUAGUUUUCUCCGGAUGCAAAAAACUCUUAAUUAUGGAUAGGAUAAGUCAUUUGCCCGAUGAGCUUAUUUUGGACAUAUUGUCGUCACUACCUAAUGCUAAAGAUGUUGCGGCCACAAUGAUUUUGUCAAAACGGUGGCGGUUUCUUUGGACGAUGGUUCCAAGGCUUGUGUACGAUGCUAGCUAUCUGGAUAUUGACUAUGGAAGAUUUUCGACCUUUGUAAACAGGUCUUUGUUGCUGCACAAGGCUCCACUUAUAGAUACUUUGCAUUUCAAAAUUGGUAACGCCUG